AGACGAGGGCCAGGUGAGUCUUUCAGGUCCCCUCACACACAGACGCCUGCCGCCCGACCCCGGGCACUCCCACAAAUCCGGUCACCUCAUUCACGCCCAUUCAUUCCCAUCCCUCCAGGCCCCUCCUGACGUAGUCCUUCUCCUCUGCCCUGCGAGCCCCUCCCAACGGGCCCAGUGACCGGACAGGCCCGCCAUCCGGCUCCUGGCACCGCCACUCCCAGCGCUUCCAGUCCCUCCCCAGGCGCCGCAGCUCCCCGUCCUGGAGCACCCCCACCUGCCCGCCGAUGGUUACAUCGAAGAAAACCACGGGGUUGUUGGGAUUCGCUGCCAGCGCCGACAUUACGACUACCACUGCAGGAAGCGGAAAUGGCGACGGAAGUGGAAACGCCGACGAAAGGCGAGACGGGCGGUUUGAUCAGCUGAACACUGCCUUUGGGAGGUUUACAGGACAUCCUUCAAUGUUCUGACUGUGCAUGAGCAGAAGUCAUGCUUUCUGUGGCAGAAGAUGAGCAAGUGUGUCCCAGCUGUGGUUUUGCUUUAAAAACCCCUGCAAUUCAUCUGAAGACACCUUUUUUUGGAGGCCAGGGAUGGGCAGUGGUACAAGAUGAAUGAUGCCUCAAGACAUCUCUCUGCCAAAAUACAUAUUUGCUUUUCUAUGCCAGGUAGGAACAAGUGUGAAAGGAUUUUCAGAAUAUAUUCUCUCUUGUGUUACUGAUCUUGUUGCUGUUCUUCUCUGAUGGGUUUUACUUUUUGUCAUAGGAGAGAAGACCGUUUGUCCAGGUGAGUUCUCUUUGUCCUGCAGUUUGACAGGCCAUUUCUUCUCCCUUGCUGUUUGGCACUAAACUGGGCUUGUGUAAAUUGCCAGAUGUGUGCUCUCUGAGAAGGGCCAUCUAUGAAAAGGGGCAAAAUGGACAUCUGAGAGCAUAAAGAUGAGUCACUGCCUGAAAGGGACAGACAUGACUGGAAAAUAGUGAUCUAUUUUCCAAAGCCUUGUGCUGCUUCAGUCUUCUGCAUGUCAUGUGUGCCAGAAAAUGACAGGCCUGAAGCCACAAGGAGACUGCAAGAAAUCAAGGAGGUGGAGAAAGUCCAGGCACACUGAGGAGGGGGAGAACUUGAAUAGAAGCCAGCCAGGCAUUCCAUGUCCCAGGAAGUGCAGGGGACCCUCACCACCAGCUGGGACAUGGCCAUGGGAACUUUCUUCAUUCAUCCUCAAGAGAGGAGGACUAAAAAGUAGCAACAUUUGCAACAUUGCAGCAGUUGCCUCACUCUUUGCCAAUGAUUUCGAGUGCAUAUGGCUUCUGUACAGACCUGUUCAGUACUGGUCACCAAGCUUCCCAGCAUAACCUGCCAGUGACCAUCAAAGGCUGUAGAUAUCUCAGAAGAAUGUUGACCUUUUUAAACCUGACAUUUAUGAUUGAAACAAUAAAACCAUCAAACCAAACCCAGUCCCAAGUGGUGCUUCUGAUUGUUCUAUAGAGAGUUUGACCAUGCAAGAAACAACAGGGUUUUUUAAAAUUUAUUUAACUUGAGACUUCCUUUAUGAACAGUCCCCUGUGAUGCAGAAAGGUGGGAGCUUUGUACACUUGUAUUGAAAGAGCAUGCAGAGAUCUCAGGGAAAAAGAAUUCUCAGGAACAGUGUCUUCAGGGCUCCUGGAUCAGAGGCUCAGCUCCCCUGUGUGUGGCUCAUGUUCUCCCAAGUGCAAUGCCCAGGGAGAGAUGUCUCUACAAGAGACAGGGAAACCAAGCAACUGCAAGCACGGACACUGACAGUCCCCAUCAAAAGGGCUGUUUGGUUAAGCAGGUGGGUUUCCACUCUUUUUACUCCUUCUUUUGGUGAAGAAAUUGGUUUCCGGCAGACUUGGGCAGCGGGGUUUGAUUAAAAAACACAACGCUUCACCUUGAAGAUGAUUCUGCAAUGUCUCACACAAGCUGCAUUUCAUAUACCUUCUGUCCUAUUUCUCAACUAUGCCAGAAAUCAGUUUCUGAGGCAAAACCAAGACAAACAUUUAGGCAUUUCUUAUCACAGAAAGUAUUAAGCACCAGCUCCCAAGCCUGCUGUGAAGCUCACUCCAAAAUGAGGAAAGCAUUGUCUUUGAUCUCCAUUGCCAGUGCUCAGGACCGCUGUGCCCUGUAGCAACCAAGUCCAAUGAGAAAGGUGUUUGGGAGUAGGGGAUGUGAGCAGGAGCAGAGUCCAGAUGAACAUCCAAGUGCAGGGAUCUUUCUUGGCACCAGUCAUGUUCUGGUGACCUGUGAAAAAGUCACUUCUUCAGCAGCCUUGGAGAAAGGGAAAGAUACUUUACUAUAGAAUUACCAAGAUAAAUUAUUUUAUUAUUUAGCUACAUAUAUUGCAUUUGCAUAAACCAGUUCUUUGGUCCUUGUCCUCUUGCCUUCUCAGGCACACAAGACAUCAAAAAACACCCUUACAAAUCAUGUAAAAAUUUCAGUACAAGCCAGGUUACUCUUCCCCAUCAUCUGCUAAACCAACAGUGUCUCUCUGGAGCCUGCACACUAUGAGUGGCCUCAGUUUCCACUUUCCAUCUUUUUCAUGUCCUCUGUCUUCUCCUGUCUCCCUGGGCUCUCCUCCCUGCUGGGCACUUAUCUCAGUCACUCCCUGACCUCCCAAUGCUUUUCACUGUAAUUGUGCUGGCAGAUGUUAAAAAGCACUAUCCCAGCUAGGUGAUCUGCGCAUUUUCCUCUUCUCUGCUGCUCUUGCUAAUAAGCUCUAGUGCCCUGUCUCCCUCCUGCUGUUAAACCCAGUUCCUGCAAGAGAAGUC